AGAGUUUGAUUCUGGCUCAGGAUGAACGCUGGCGGCAUGCCUAAUACAUGCAAGUCGAACGAGAGACCUUCGGGUCUCUAGUGGCGAACGGGUGAGUAACACGUAGGGAACCUGCCCGCGCACCGGGAAUACGCUCUGGAAACGGAGAACAAAUCCCGAUGUACAGGAAGGAGGCAUCUUCUUUCUGUGAAACAUCCUUUAGGGGAUGGGGCGCGGAUGGACCUGCGGUGCAUUAGUUGGUUGGCGGGGUAAAGGCCCACCAAGACGAUGAUGCAUAGCCGGCCUGAGAGGGCGGACGGCCACAUUGGGACUGAGACACGGCCCAGACUCCUGCGGGAGGCAGCAGUAGGGGAUUUUCGUCAAUGGGCGCAAGCCUGAACGAGCGAUGCCGCGUGAGUGAAGAAGGCCUUCGGGUCGUAAAGCUCUGUUGCGGGGGAAAAAAGGCAGCAUCAGGAAAUGGGUGCUGACUGAUGGUGCCCCGCCAGAAAGUCACGGCUAACUACGUGCCAGCAGCCGCGGUAAUACGUAGGUGGCGAGCGUUAUCCGGAAUGAUUGGGCGUAAAGGGUGCGUAGAUGGCAUAGUAAGUCUUUUGUAAAAAUGCUGGGCUCAACCCAGUAGGGCAAAAGAUACUGCAAAGCUAGAGUAUGACAGAGGCAAGUGGAACUACAUGUGUAGCGGUAAAAUGCGUAAAUAUAUGUAAGAACACCAGUGGCGAAGGCGGCUUGCUGGGUCGAUACUGACAUUGAGGCACGAAAGCGUGGGGAGCAAACAGGAUUAGAUACCCUGGUAGUCCACGCCCUAAACGAUGAGUACUAAGUGUUGGUGAGAAUCAGUGCUGAAGUUAACGCAUUAAGUACUCCGCCUGAGUAGUACGUACGCAAGUAUGAAACUUAAAGGAAUUGACGGGAGCCCGCACAAGCGGUGGAGCAUGUUGUUUAAUUCGACGAUACGCGAAGAACCUUACAGGUCUUGACAUAGCACGCGAAGGCGUAGAGAUACGUUGGAGGAUAGCGUGCAUACAGGUGGUGCAUGGUUGUCGUCAGCUCGUGUCGUGAGAUGUUGGGUUAAGUCCCGCAACGAGCGCAACCCCUGCCCGCAGUAGCCAGCACGUUGAGGUGGGCACUCUGCGGGGACUGCCGGGGACAACCCGGAGGAAGGCGGGGACGACGUCAAAUCAUCAUGCCCCUUAUGGCCUGGGCGACACACGUGCUACAAUGGCGCCGACAGAGGGAUGCGAAGCGGCGACGCGGAGCGAACCCCAAAAACGGCGCCCCAGCUCGGAUUGUAGUCUGCAACCCGACUACAUGAGGCCGGAAUCGCUAGUAAUCGCGGAUCAGAACGCCGCGGUGAAUACGUUCCCGGGUCUUGCACACACCGCCCGUCAA
rnacentral:rRNA from 1 species